AACGAACGCUGGCGGCAUGCCUAACACAUGCAAGUCGAACGAUGCCUCCGGGCAUAGUGGCGCACGGGUGCGUAACGCGUGGGAAUCUGCCCUUGGGUUCGGAAUAACUCGCCGAAAGGCGAGCUAAUACCGGAUGAUGACGUAAGUCCAAAGAUUUAUCGCCCAAGGAUGAGCCCGCGUAGGAUUAGCUAGUUGGUGGGGUAAAGGCCCACCAAGGCGACGAUCCUUAGCUGGUCUGAGAGGAUGAUCAGCCACACUGGGACUGAGACACGGCCCAGACUCCUACGGGAGGCAGCAGUGGGGAAUAUUGGACAAUGGGCGAAAGCCUGAUCCAGCAAUGCCGCGUGAGUGAUGAAGGCCUUAGGGUUGUAAAGCUCUUUUACCCGGGAUGAUAAUGACAGUACCGGGAGGAUAAGCGCCGGCUAACUCCGUG
rnacentral:rRNA from 1 species